AGAGUUUGAUCAUGGCUCAGGAUGAACGCUAGCUACAGGCUUAACACAUGCAAGUCGAGGGGCAGCAGGACGAUAGCUUGCUAUUGUUGCUGGCGACCGGCGCACGGGUGAGUAACGCGUAUCCAACCUUCCCCUUAGUAGGGCAUAGCCCGGUGAAAAUCGGAUUAAUACCCUAUGUUGUGUCAUGAGGACAUCUGAAUAACACUAAAGAUUUAUCGCUAAGGGAUGGGGAUGCGUCCGAUUAGGUAGUCGGCGGGGUAACGGCCCACCGAGCCCUCGAUCGGUAGGGGUUCCGAGAGGAAGGUCCCCCACACUGGUACUGAGACACGGACCAGACUCCUACGGGAGGCAGCAGUGAGGAAUAUUGGUCAAUGGGCGUAAGCCUGAACCAGCCAAGUAGCCGUGCAGGAUGACGGCCCUAUGGGUUGUAAACUGCUUUUAUACGGGGAUAAAGUGAGGGACGUGUCCCUUAAUUGUAGGUACCGUAUGAAUAAGGACCGGCUAAUUCCGUGCCAGCCGCUGC
rnacentral:rRNA from 1 species